UACGUAGGGGGCAAGCGUUGUCCGGAUUUACUGGGCGUAAAGCGCGUGUAGGCGGGAGAGGCAGUCCGGUGUGAAAGCCCACGGCUCAACCGUGGAAGGUCGCUGGAAACUCUUCUUCUUGAGGCGGACAGAGGGAAGUGGAAUUGCUGGUGUAGCGGUGAAAUGCGUAGAUAUCAGCAGGAACACCCGUGGCGAAGGCGGCUUCCUGGGUCCGACCUGACGCUGAGACGCGAAAGCGUGGGGAGCGAACGGG
rnacentral:rRNA from 1 species